AUAAGAGGUCCCGCCUGCCCUGUGACUAUAAGUUUAACGGCCGCGGUAUUUUAACCGUGCGAAGGUAGCGUAAUCACUUGUCUUUUAAAUGAAGACCUGUAUGAAUGGCAUCACGAGGGCUUAGCUGUCUCCCAUCUCCAGUCAAUGAAAUUGACCUCCCCGUGCAGAGGCGGGGAUGCUUACAUAAGACGAGAAGACCCUAUGGAGCUUUAGACCUAAGGUAAGUCACGUUUAAUGUGCUGUGAUAACAGUGGAAACUUAGUGAUAAUUACUGAAGUGUUUUUGGUUGGGGCGACCGCGGGGUAAAACACAACCCCCAUGUGGACCGGGGAUAUUAUCCCUAAUACUCAGAGCCUCUACUCCAAGUAACAGAAAUUCUGACUUUUCUGAUCCGGUAUAACCGAUCAACGAACCGAGUUACCCUAGGGAUAACAGCGCAAUCCCCUCUCAGAGCCCAUAUCGACGAGGGGGUUUACGACCUCGAUGUUGGAUCAGGACAUCCUAAUGGUGCAGCCGCUAUUAAGGGUUCGUUUGUUCAACGAUUAAAGUCC
rnacentral:rRNA from 1 species